UACGUAGGGUGCAAGCGUUAAUCGGAAUUACUGGGCGUAAAGCGUGCGCAGGCGGUGAUGUAAGACAGAUGUGAAAUCCCCGGGCUCAACCUGGGAACUGCGCUUGUUACUGGCAGGCUUGAGUGUGGCAGAGGGGGGUGGAAUUCCACGUGUAGCAGUGAAAUGCGUAGAGAUGUGGAGGAACACCGAUGGCGAAGGCAGCCCCCUGGGCUAACACUGACGCUCAUGCACGAAAGCGUGGGGAGCAAACAGG
rnacentral:rRNA from 1 species